rnacentral:rRNA from 1 species
UACAGAGGUCUCAAGCGUUGUUCGGAUUCAUUGGGCGUAAAGGGUGCGUAGGUGGCGAGGUUAGUCAGGUGUGAAAAUCUCGGGGGCUCAACCCCGAAACUGCACUUGAUACUGCCUUGCUAGAGUACUGGAGAGGAGAUUGGAAUUUACGGUGUAGCAGUGAAAUGCGUAGAUAUCGUAAGGGAAGACCAGUGGCGAAGGCGAAUCUCUGGACAGUUACUGACACUGAGGCACGAAGGCCCAGGGGGAGCAAAACGGGG